GAAAGUAAAUAAGGGCGUAUGGGGAAUGCCUAGGCUCUUGGAGGCGAAGAAAGACGUGGUAAGCUGCGAAAAGCUCCGGGGAUUUGCAAACAAGAUUUGAUCCGGAGAUUUCUGAAUGGGACAACCCGUCAGGUAGAAGACCUGACACAUCGUAAGAUGGGCCAACCCUCUGAACUGAAACAUCUUAGUAGGAGGAGGAAAAGAAAGAAACAUCGAUUUCCUGAGUAGCGGCGAGCGAAAGGGAAAAAGCCUAAACCGGUAUUGUUACGGCAAUGCCGGGGUUGUAGGACUGCAAUAUUCAAGUAACAAUGAACUGGAACGAUCUGGAAAGUUCGUCCAUAGAGGGUGAAAGGCCCGUACAGGUAAGUUCGUUAUGCGAUAGCAGUAUCCUGAGUAGGGCGGGACACGAGGAAUCCUGUCUGAAUCUGCCGGGACCACCCGGUAAGGCUAAAUACUCCCAAGAGACCGAUAGUGAACCAGUACCGUGAGGGAAAGGUGAAAAGAACCCCGAACAGGGGAGUGAAAUAGAACCUGAAACCAUACGCUUACAACCGGUCGGAGCAGUUUCGUGCUGUGACGGCGUGCCUAUUGAAUAAUGAGCCUACGAGUUACUAAUCACUGGCGAGGUUAAGUGCACGGAUGCACGGAGCCGAAGCGAAAGCGAGUCUGAACAGGGCGGCUAGUCAGUGGUUGUAGACGCGAAACCUUGCGAUCUACCCUUGAGCAGGUUGAAGGUUGGGUAAAACCAACUGGAGGACCGAACGAAUAAGCGUUGAAAAGCUUCUCGAUGACUUGAGGGUAGGGGUGAAAGGCUAAUCAAGCUGGGAAAUAGCUCGUACUCCCCGAAAUGCCUUUAGGGGCAGCGUUGUAAUUAAGAGUCUACUGGAGGUAGAGCUACUGAUUGGAUGCGGGGGCUUCACCGCCUACCAAAUCCUGACAAACUCCGAAUGCCAGUAGUAUGAUUUACAGCAGUGAGCGACCGGGUGCUAAUGUCCGGUUACGAGAGUGGAACAACACAGACCAGCAACUAAGGUCCCGAAGAGUAUACUAAGUUGAUCUAACGAUGUUUUGCUGCAGAGACAGCUAGGAUGUUAGCUUGGAAGCAGCUAUUCAUUCAAAGAGUGCGUAACAGCUCACUAGUCGAGCGGCAAAGCGUGGAUAAUAAACGGGCAUCAAGUAUACCACCGAAGUUCUGGGCACGAAAGUGCGGUAGGGGAGCAUUCCAUUGACGUCGAAGCCAUUCCGCGAGGAUAGGUGGAGUUUAUGGAAAAGCAAAUGUAGGCAUGAGUAACGAUAAUGCGGGAGAGUAACCCGCACACCGCAAGACCAAGGUUUCCUGAUCAACGCUAAUCGGAUCAGGGUUAGUCGGGUCCUAAGGGUAAGCCGAACGGUGAUCUCGAUGGACAAUCGGUUAAUAUUCCGAUACUAACAUAUACCUCGAUGGAGAGACGAAGGAACGUAAGUGACGCCGCCUGACGGAAUAGGUGGUUAAAGGGUGUAGGUAUAGGGACAGAUUAAGAGUUAGUCCUUGCUGAAACCCGACAGUACGGAGCGGCUACGGCCAAUCUGAUAGUUCACCCAAGUCGACUUCCGAGAAAAUCUUCUAAGUUAUAGUAUAUGUUACCCGUACCGUAAACCGACACAGGUGGUCGAGGAGAGUAUCCUAAGGUGCUCGAGUGAAUCACGGUUAAGGAACUAGGCAAAUUAACCCCGUAACUUCGGGAAAAGGGGUCCCUACGCGAGUAGGGCGCAGCGAAGAGGUCCAGGCGACUGUUUAUCAAAAACACAGGGCUCUGCAAAUUCGAAAGAAGACGUAUAGGGCCUGACACCUGCCCGGUGCUGGAAGGUUAAGAGGGGAUGUCAUCGCAAGAGAAGCAUUGAAUCGAAGCCCCAGUAAACGGCGGCCGUAACUAUAACGGUCCUAAGGUAGCGAAAUUCCUUGUCGGGUAAGUUCCGACCUGCACGAAUGGUGUAACGAUCUGGACACUGUCUCAACCGUGAGCUCGGUGAAAUUGUAGUCCCGGUGAUGAUGCCGGGUACCCGCAACGGGACGAAUAGACCCCGUGAACCUUUACUAUAGCUUAACGCUGAAUUUGGGUACACAAUGUGUAGGAUAGGC
rnacentral:rRNA from 1 species